CCUACGGGAGGCAGCAGUGAGGAAUAUUGGUCAAUGGACGAGAGUCUGAACCAGCCAAGUAGCGUGAAGGAUGACUGCCCUAUGGGUUGUAAACUUCUUUUAUAUGGGAAUAAAACGUUCCACGUGUGGGAUUUUGUAUGUACCAUAUGAAUAAGGAUCGGCUAACUCCGUGCCAGCAGCCGCGGUAAUACGGAGGAUCCGAGCGUUAUCCGGAUUUAUUGGGUUUAAAGGGAGCGUAGGUGGAUUGUUAAGUCAGUUGUGAAAGUUUGCGGCUCAACCGUAAGAUUGCAGUUGAAACUGGCAGUCUUGAGUACAGUAGAGGUGGGCGGAAUUCGUGGUGUAGCGGUGAAAUGCUUAGAUAUCACGAAGAACUCCGAUUGCGAAGGCAGUUCACUGGACUGCAACUGACACUGAGGCUCGAAAGUGUGGGUAUCAAACAGGAUUAGAUACCCGAGUAGUC
rnacentral:rRNA from 1 species